AGCAGCCGCGGUAAUUCCAGCUCCAAUAGCGUAUAUUAAAGUUGUUGCAGUUAAAAAGCUCGUAGUUGAAUUUCGGGGUCAGCAGGUUGGUCGUGCCAAUGGUAUGCACUGGCCUUGGUGAUUCCUCCCUCUUGUAGAACCGUAAUGCCAUUAAGUUGGUGUUGCGGGGAAACAGGACUGUUACUUUGAAAAAAUUAGAGUGUUUAAAGCAGGCUAACGCCUGAAUACAUUAGCAUGGAAUAAUGAAAUAGGACGAUCGAUCCUAUUUUGUUGGUUUCUAGGAUUGACGUAAUGAUUAAUAGGGAUAGUUGGGGGCAUUAGUAUUCAAUUGUCAGAGGUGAAAUUCUUGGAUUUAUUGAAGACUAACUACUGCGAAAGCAUUUGCCAAGGAUGUUUUCAUUAAUCAAGAACGAAAGUUAGGGGAUCGAAGACGAUCAGAUACCGUCGUAGUCUUAACCAUAAACUAUGCCGACUAGGGAUCGGAUGAUGUUAAUUUUUUAAUGUACUCAUUCGGCGCCUU
rnacentral:rRNA from 1 species